rnacentral:rRNA from 1 species
UACGGGAGGCAGCAGUGGGGAAUCUUAGGCAAUGGGGCAACCCUGAUCUAGCCAUGCCGCGUGAGUGAUGAAGGCCUUAGGGUUGUAAAGCUCUUUCAGCUGGGAAGAUAAUGACGGUACCAGCAGAAGAAGCCCCGGCUAACUCCGUGCCAGCAGCCGCGGUAAUACGGAGGGGCUAGCGUUGUUCGGAAUUACUGGGCGUAAAGCGCACGUAGGCGGACUGGAAAGUCAGAGGUGAAAUCCCAGGGCUCAACCUUGGAACUGCCUUUUGAAACUAUCAGUCUGGAGUUCGAGAGAGGUGAGUGGAAUUCCGAGUGUAGAGGUGAAAUUCGUAGAUAUUCGGAGGAACACCAGUGGCGAAGGCGGCUCACUGGCUCGAUACUGACGCUGAGGGUGCGAAAGCGUGGGGAGCAAACAGGGAUUAGAUA